rnacentral:tRNA from 1 species
GACUCAGUAGCUGAGUGGGUAAAGCGAUGGCGUUUGCAGCAAAAGGUACUUGGUUCAAGUCCCAGAGUGAUC